rnacentral:lncRNA from 1 species
GCUGGGGGACAUGGACUUGUCCAGCUAAUGGACUAGGCAUGGAAAAGGUGUAUGUGGUGGAUGGCGGCCCCGUUCACUGGGGUGAGGACUGAGGUUAGAAGAUGAUAAAGGCAGAGGGUGGAAUUGCCUGUUUCUCCCUGAAUGGACCAUCAUGCAGUGAGGCACGCAUGUCCGGAGCUGAAGGAAAGAUUUCUGAAGCUGCAGGAGGCUGAGAACACGCAGUAGGUUAUAGGAGGAAAGAGGAAAAUGUGGGCGGCUCUGAAGGAUGCUGACAUUUGAAAGGCAGGCAGUGAUUCUAAACAAAUCGUUCAUAACCCUGCAUGCAUGUUGGGCUCACCUGGAUAGCCUUUCCUUUUCGGAAAGUGGGGGUAGCUUUUAAAUCAUACAAUGGUCCAAUAUUUGAAUUCUAUUGGUCUGGGCUGAGGAUUGAGUAUUUGCAUUUUAAAAAGCUCUCCCAAGAAAUCCUAAAGCACAGCCUAUGUAAUAAAUAUAGUGUGAAUUAUAUUUUAUUUUGGGGCCAGUCUACUUACAUUAUUGAGCAGAAAUCUGACUCUCUGCCUUAUAAUAAUAAGAUGUAAUCAUAUAUUCUCAUAAUAAUCACACAUAUCUCAGAAUGACAAUGUUCACUUCUUUGUUUCCUCUGCUACACUGUCAACUUUCCAGGGCUGUAGGAGCUGGACCAAUUCUUGCUGAACAAAUGGAAGAAGAAAUGAAUGUUCCUAUCAUCUAUGUUCCGGGGAACAGAUAAGGUUGCUGACACUGUGAAUGAAUUCUCCCUGACCUCACUUGCUCAUCUUACUUUUCUAAAUUGCUCAAGUACUUUUUACUCCCUGUCAUGAGGUCAUUUUCCGAAGCUGCAUGGAUAACGGAGAGACCAAUUAUUGAAGAUAGUUGUGCCACAAUAUGGAUGAAUCCUGGAUACAUGAAUGCCUGUGUGGAACAGAGCCCGCUGUCUACUGUAUUGGAUUCUGAGGUGCUCUGUUGUCAUGAUGGACCAUCAAUCUCUUGGGGAAGACAUCAUUCUGAGAAGACAGUUUGGACAGAGAAAAAAAUAGUUUGUACAGGAGUUUGGAGUCAUUCUGGAAAAUCACCUAUUGUCUGCCACUCUGUUUGUUUAUGGCUUAAAUACCACACUUUUGUCUGAUCGCACAGAGAGAGGACUGAGCGUCAAAUCUGAAGGAGGUAUUUCAGCAAAAGCACCACGAGAUGCUAAGUCCCUAAGGCAAUGCUGUUUUGUGGCUGCUGUGGAAGAGAGUGGCACAGAGGGAUUGGGAGCAGGGUGAGCUAGCCUGUGUCUCUCAUGAAGACGUGGUAGCAGAUGUCACUUUUUGGUGGGUGUUAACAGUGCCUCAGGGACAUAGGCAGCUUCAUGACGCUUUUGUGGCUGGCAACAACAGAACACAUCAAAGCAGAGGGGCGGGAGAGGAGGAACAUGGUGGGAUGGCAGCCAAGAGAAUUUGUUUACAAACAUCUGUGACAUUUUCAGUGACCCCCAGGGAUACUGUAUGGGGAAGAAUUUGCAUCAGAUGGGAAUCAUAGUAGUAUGUAAGGAGGAAGGAGAAAUAUACUUUUUAUUAGUGUUAAGAAAAUCCUAUUUUUAACCACUAUACUGAUUCGUCCUGAGGGAAUCUUGGUUACAUUUUAAGUAAGUGGAAUGUGUUUUAAUUGACAAAGUCGAGUUUACCCAAGGUCAAAUAGGGACAUGACAACCACUAGCAAUGAUUGUAAAUGAUUCAUGAAGCUUGGGAGAGGUGAUCAAAGUCAAUGAAAGGAGCAAUUUGAAGUCCAUUCUCAUGAAAUCAUAGACAUGAUAGUGCAUUGUGAUAUGGAUCCAUCAGUGUGUCAUACUGUGAAACAAACAAACAAACUGAAUAUCUUACCAGAAAUCAAUUCCUAAGCAGCCGUAAGAGCGCAGGGUUUUGGGUGAAAAAUAGCAGGGCUUUGCAGAGAAUCAAUAACAUCAAACUAGCCUGUUUUCCUUCUGUGACAGAGUGAUAGACAAAUUGAAACACAUUAUAUUUUGACUUUGCUAAGGCUUUUGAUUUUUCUCAGUGAGAAUUUUUCAACACAGAGGGUAAUUCAACAGAUAUCUUUGGAAUGCUAAGGGCAUAUGCUACGUAACAGGUAUACUGUGAUUAUCAUUCUCUUUCUGUGAGAGAUAGGGAAUCUUGUGAGAGUGGAAAGAAAUGUGGGCUGGUAAGUACAAAUUAGGGCUAACCGCCUUUAACCUAAUUAGGUGCAAAGUGCUAGAAGUAGCACAAACGUAGAGCCCCUAGAACUCCCUGGGGUGGUCUCAGAAACCUCCGUUAAAUAAGGAAAACUUGAGUAAUAGCUAGGAAUCUGGCUAUUACUCAAGAGAGCUGGAAAUAAGGUCUUGGGAGUUAGGAUAAAAGCAUUUAUCUCUACUACUUGCACACUCACAAAAAUAUGCAAGAGCUGCCACAAACUCCCCAAAGUGCAUUGUCAUUCUCCUCCAGGACCUAAAAAGUUGAUCUUUGUAUCUAGAAACAUGGACAUAGCUCUGAAUUCAAAAAAUUAAGGUGGGAAUAGUAGUAGAAGAUAAAACAAAGAAACACACACACCAAGAUACAGUCCUAGACCUGUCUGAUCAUUUGAUUGCCAUUAUAAUCUUAUGAGUCCACAAUCAAUCAGUCAACUCUGCAGAUGGUAGCUGCCAAUACAAGUAUUUCUCUGCUGUCUAAUUGACUAUCCUUUCCUUGCUUGCUAGCAAAUGAAAGAAAAUGAUAUCACAUGUUUCAGCUGAUCAAGGAAUAACUGGCCAGGGGUCACUUGGUAUGACAGCCAUCCAGGUUUCAGAAAUGACACAAAAGAUAUGGAUAAAGUCACUGACUGGAGAUAAUGGUGUCAGGAGACACAAAUGCAUAUAUUAUCUGCAUUUCCCUGAUCUCUGCAUUUUCUUUCAUGCUGCAGUUUGGGGAAUAAAUGGUGGAAAUAAAUAUUGACUCCUGGGUCAUGACAACUGGUACAUAUCUUUGCUACAUGUUUAAUAUUUUUGUUGUAACAAUAAUUAGUUACAACACAAAAAUUAUACAUUGUCUUUAGUUUAAGUAGUAGGAAGUUGGAGUUCUUUUGUUUCUUGAUUCACCCAUAAAAGGAAAAGUAAAUCCACACAUUCUAAAAGGGAAAAAAUAGGUUAAAACAAAGAUUUGGACCUAAGUCCUUAGUAGGACUAUCUUGAAUGGAUUCAUAUGCUAAAGGGUCAGAGAAUGCAAGAUAAUUGGAGAAUUUGCAGUGAACUUGCAGUGAAUGCAAUACAGUUGUACCCCCAAAUACUUUUGUAUUGCUAGAAACAGUGUAUGGAACAUAUUGCAGAAGUGAGGGGCUAGAAAAUUGGAAAACAACCAGAUUAUGGAAGGUCUCAUGUAUACUAUUCUGGGUCUUUUCAAAUCCUUCACCUCUAUCAAAACUCGUACUAUUUCCCAUCACGUUUUUCUCAUUUAUUGAUUCAUUAAUCUACUUUUUCUUUCUCAAACGUUUCUGUUGAUACAAAACAUACAUGUAGAAAACUGCAAAACUCAGUAAGUUUUCACAGGUUGAAUAGAUCUAUGUAAACAGCACCUAGAUGAAGAAACAGAACAUGAUUGGUACCCAAAAACUCCAUAUAGCACCUUCCUAAUUCCCCCCAAAGAUAAGUACCAUCCCGGCUUCUAACAACAUAGGUUGAUUUUACCUGUUUAUAAACUUUAUACAAAUGAAAGUGUACAAUAUUUUUUCUUUUGUGACUGGUUUCUUUUGCUCAACAUUACAUUUGUGAGAUUUAUCCAUAUUGUUGCAUGUAUUUAUAGUUAACGUAUUGUCACUGAUGUAUAAGAUUCCAUUAUGUAAAUAUACUGCAUUUUAUUUACCUCUUCAACUAUACAUAGAUAUUUGAUUCACAUUUAGUUUUUGGCUAUUGUAAGUAGUACUGACAGAGCUUUUUUUUUUUCUGCACAUAUGGAAGCAUUUCUGUUGCAUGUGCACCUAGAAAUGGAAUUGCUUUGUUAUUGGAUACAUGUAUAUUUAAUGUCAGUAAAUCCUGCUAAACUGUUUUCCAAAAUAGGUGUGUACUUUACAGUUCCAAGAGCAGUGUAUGAGAGAAGUCAUUCUUUGGUUAAUUUAUUGCACAUUUGUUGUGUGCGUACUCUGUGUGUGAUGGUACUCCAGGAACUGUGGGAGAAAAAAUGAAUGAAGUGUCUACCCUCAAAAAACCUUCAGUUUAGUCAGAGGCACAGACAUACAAACAGUUAGUGACCAGGACUGGGGAGGGAUCCAAGAGCUCUAAAGCCAGAUACGACGUGGGGAGAGCAAGGUGAAGAAACUAGAGAGACACUGCAGUGACAAUGAAAAUAGUAGCUAACUUUCAAAAAUUGCUUUGCUGUUUACACAGCAGUUUUCUUUUUUUCUUUUU